rnacentral:rRNA from 1 species
CUAACGAUUGAUCUAGUUACUUAGAAAGAUGAAAUUAUGAAUAAAUAUAAAAUUGUUUUAUAUAAUCUAAAUAAUAAUGAAUAAUAUAAAGUCUUAAUAUUAUAAAAUUAAUAAUGAUAAAAAUAAUAUUGAUGUUUUAACCAAAAUUAGUGCCAGCAGUUGCGGCUAAACUAAGGAAGCUAACGUUAAUAAUUAAAGGCUUAAAGGAUCCGUAGAAUGAUAUAUUUUAAUUAAUAUAAUAGAGUUAAAUAAAUGAAUAAUGAAUAAUUAUAAUGAAAGAUGAAAUUUAAUGAUAAUAAUUAGACAGAUAAUAUUGAAGAUUUUAUUCAGAAUUUAAACUGACAUUGAUUGGAUGAAGGUAUGAGUAUCAAAAUAGAUUAGAUACCUAAUUAGUUCAUACUGUAAACUAUGAAUACUAAAUUAAUAAAAGUGAAAACUUAAGUAUUCCGCCAGGUGAG